GAUAAACGCUGGCCGGCGGCGACAUAAGACAUGCAAGUCGAACGAACUUAACCAGUUAGUUUACGUAUUAGGGAGCGGUUAAGUGGGCGGACUGGUGAGUAACACGUAAGCAACCUGCCUAUCAGAGGGGAACAACAGUUAGAAAUGACUGCUAAUACCGCAUAUGCCUUAGAACCACAUGGUUCAAAAGGGAAAGGAGCAAUCCGCUGAUAGAUGGGCUUGCGUCUGAUUAGCUAGUUGGUGGGGUAACGGCCUACCAAGGCAACGAUCAGUAGCCGAACUGAGAGGUUGAACGGCCACAUUGGGACUGAGAUACGGCCCAG
rnacentral:rRNA from 1 species